UGAGCUUGAUCCUGGCUCAGGAUGAACGCUAGCGGCAGGCUUAACACAUGCAAGUCGAGGGGUAUAGUUCUUCGGAGCUAGAGACCGGCGCACGGGUGCGUAACGCGUAUGCAAUCUACCUUUUACAGAGGGAUAGCCCAGAGAAAUUUGGAUUAAUACCUCAUAGUAUAUAGACCUGGCAUCAGGAUUAUAUUAAAGUCACAACGGUAAAAGAUGAGCAUGCGUCCCAUUAGCUAGUUGGUAAGGUAACGGCUUACCAAGGCUACGAUGGGUAGGGGUCCUGAGAGGGAGAUCCCCCACACUGGUACUGAGACACGGACCAGACUCCUACGGGAGGCAGCAGUGAGGAAUAUUGGACAAUGGGCGCAAGCCUGAUCCAGCCAUGCCGCGUGCAGGAUGACGGUCCUAUGGAUUGUAAACUGCUUUUAUACCGAGAAGAAACAUCCCCGACGUGUCG
rnacentral:rRNA from 1 species